GGCCUGUGGCUCAGUUGGUAGAGCAUGGUGUUUGCAACGCCAGGGUUGUGGGUUCGAUUCCCACGGGGGGCCA
rnacentral:tRNA from 1 species